UACAGAGGUCCCAAGCGUUGUUCGGAUUCACUGGGCGUAAAGGGUGCGUAGGUGGUCGGGUAAGUCCGAUGUGAAAUCUCCAGGCUCAACCUGGAAAUGGCAUUGGAUACUAUUCGGCUUGAGGAGUGGAGGGGGGGACUGGAAUUCUCGGUGUAGCAGUGAAAUGCGUAGAUAUCGAGAGGAACACCAGUGGCGAAGGCGAGUCCCUGGACACUUCCUGACACUGAGGCACGAAAGCUAGGGGAGCAAACAGG
rnacentral:rRNA from 1 species